GAAAUGGUUUAACAAUUUUUUUUCCAUUUUGUUUUUUCUUCUCCUCUUUCCCUCUUCCCCUGUUCUCUCUAUUGUGUCCAACCCCCACCACUGCCCCCUUCCCUGUUUCCCUCAAAUGUAUCAUCAACAUCUCUCUCUCUGGCUUAGGUUUCAGUUCAUAUUGCAAGCGCAAUGCAGUUUAAUCUCAUGCCUAAGGAUUAGCUAUUGAGUCCCAAAGCAACACUGGUGAAAAAACUCUGUGAUGCAAUUCAUCGACUGAAGCUUAGAUAUGGACUUGGUCAGCCGUACAAGAAGAGGGAAGGGGGAGGCAGUGGUGGACACUACGGAGAGAACAGCUAAAGGGGAAGAGAGAAAGAGGAGAAGAAAAAACAAAAAUGAAAAAAAAAAAUUGUUAAACAAUUUUUUAUAGAAGACGUCAUCUAUGAUGUCGUAUGCUGACGCUGCAUGCUACAUAGUCUAUUUUGUUGAAUCGUGGUUUGAUUAAAGGUUAAUUCAUGUUUACCAUUAAAAUUA